AGAGUUUGAUCCUGGCUCAGGAUAAACGCUGGCGGCGUGCCUAACACAUGCAAGUCGAACGUCCUGCCCUCUUUCGGGAGGGCAGGGAGUGGCGGACGGGUGAGCAAUCUGUGGAUGAUCUGCCCCACGGUGAGGAAUACCGGCGAGAGAUCGCCGACAAUACCGCAUAGGCUCUCGUUCGUGAGGAACGAGAGCAAAGUCGCGCAAGCGAUGCCGGGGGAGGAGUUCACAGCCGAUUAGCUAGCUGGUGGGGUAACAGCCUACCAGGGCGACGAUCGGUAGCUGGUCUGAGAGGACGAGCAGCCACACUGGGAUUGAGAACGGCCCAGACUCCUACGGGGGGCAGCAGUGAGGAAUUUUCGGCAAUGGAGGCAACUCUGACCGAGCAACGCCGCGUGCAGGAAGACGCUUUUCGGAGUGUAAACUGCUUUUCUCAAGGACGAGCAAGGACGGUACUUGAGGAAGAAGCCCCGGCUAACUACGUGCCAGCAGCCGCGGUAAUACGUAGGGGGCGAGCGUUGUCCGGAUUUAUUGGGCGUAAAGGGCAUGUAGGCGGUCUCCCACGUUUGUGGUGACAGUUUUCGGCUUCCCUGAGAAAGGGCCACGAAAACGAGGAGACUUGAGAGUCAGAGAGGGAUAGGGAACUCCGGGUGGAGUGGUGAAAUGCGUAGAUAUCCGGAAGAACACCAAUGGCGAAGGCACUAUCCUGGCUGACAUCUGACGCUGAGGUGCGAAAGCCAGGGGAGCGAACGGGAUUAGAUACCCCGGUAGUCCUGGCCGUAAACGAUGACCACCAGGCGUGGGGGGUAUCGACCCCCUCUGUGCCGUAACUAACGCGAGAAGUGGUCCGCCUGGGGAGUACGGUCGCAAGAUUAAAACUCAAAGGAAUUGACGGGGACCCGCACAAGCAGCGGAGCGUGUGGUUUAAUUCGAAGCAACGCGAAGAACCUUACCAGGGUUUGACAUGGACGAGACACCCUCUGAGAGGAGGGGUUCCUUCGGGACUCGUUCACAGGUGCUGCAUGGCUGUCGUCAGCUCGUGCCGUGAGGUGUUGGGUUAAGUCCCGCAACGAGCGCAACCCCCAUCGUCGGUUAUCGGUGUCCGGCGAGACUGCCACUCCAAAAGUGGAGGAAGGUGGGGAUGACGUCAAGUCAGCACGGCCCUUACGUCCUGGGCGACACACACGCUACAAUGGUCGGCACAACGGGACGCCAACCCGCGAGGGGGAGCCAAUCCCAGCAAAGCCGGUCUCAGUUCAGAUUGCAGGCUGCAACUCGCCUGCAUGAAGUCGGAGUUGCUAGUAAUCCGUGGGUCAGCACAGCCACCGGUGAAUACGUUCCCGGGUCUUGCACACACCGCCCGUC
rnacentral:rRNA from 1 species